UACGUAGGGGGGCAAGCGUUAUCCGGAAUCAUUGGGCGUAAAGCGCGUGUAGGCGGUUCCGUAAGUCCGCUCUGAAAGCCCAGGGCUCAACCCUGGGAGGCGGGUGGAUACUACGGAACUGGAGUACGGAAAAGGAGAUUGGAAUUCCUGGUGUAGCGGUGAAAUGCGCAGAUAUCAGGAGGAACACCAACAGCGAAGGCAGAUCUCUGGGCCGUAACUGACGCUGAGGAGCGAAAGCGUGGGGAGCGAACAGG
rnacentral:rRNA from 1 species